UACGGGGGGAGCAAGCGUUGUUCGGAUUUACUGGGCGUAAAGGGCGCGUAGGCGGCGUGACAAGUCACUUGUGAAAUCUCCGGGCUUAACUCGGAACGGUCAAGUGAUACUGUCGUGCUAGAGUACAGAAGGGGCAACUGGGAAUUCUCGGUGUAGCGGUGAAAUGCGUAGAUAUCGAGAGGAACACCUGCGGCGAAGGCGGGUUGCUGGGCUGAUACUGACGCUGAGGCGCGAAAGCCAGGGGAGCGAUCCGG
rnacentral:rRNA from 1 species